GGAAUAUUGGACAAUGGGGGCAACCCUGAUCCAGCAAUGCCGCGUGUGUGAAGAAGGCCUUCGGGUUGUAAAGCACUUUCGCCGGGGACAAACAAGGCGGGGCUAAUACCUCCGCUUCUGAUGGUACCCGGAGAAGAAGCACCGGCUAACUCUGUGCCAGCAGCCGCGGUAAUACAGAGGGUGCGAGCGUUACUCGGAAUUACUGGGCGUAAAGCGUACGCAGACGGUGAGAAAGGUCGGAUGUGAAAGCCCCGGGCUCAACCCGGGAACUGCAUCCGAAACCAUCUCGCUCGAGUAUGGGAGAGGGAAGCGGAAUUCCUGGUGUAGAGGUGAAAUUCGUAGAUAUCAGGAGGAACAUCUGCGGCGAAGGCGGCUUCCUGGCCCAUUACUGACGUUCAGGUACGAAAGCGUGGGUAGC
rnacentral:rRNA from 1 species